CAGUCGAACGAAGCACUUUACUUGAUUUCCUUCGGGGAUGAUUGUUCUGUGACCGAUUGGCGGACGGGUGAGUAACGCGUGGAUAACCUGCCUCACACAGGGGGAUAACAGUUGGAAACGACUGCUAAUACCGCAUAAGCGCACAGCACCGCAUGGUGCAGUGUGAAAAACUCCGGUGGUGUGAGAUGGAUCCGCGUCUGAUUAGCUAGUUGGCGGGGUAACGGCCCACCAAAGCGACGAUCAGUAGCCGACCUGAGAGGGUGACCGGCCACAUUGGGACUGAGACACGGCCCAAACUCCUACGGGAGGCAGCAGUGGGGAAUAUUGCACAAUGGGGGAAACCCUGAUGCAGCGACGCCGCGUGAGCGAAGAAGUAUUUCGGUAUGCAAAGCUCUAUCAGCAGGGAAGAAGAAAUGACGGUACCUGACUAAGAAGCACCGGCUAAAUACGUGCCAGCAGCCGCGGUAAUACGUAUGGUGCAAGCGUUAUCCGGAUUUACUGGGUGUAAAGGGAGCGCAGGCGGUACGGCAAGUCUGAUGUGAAAGCCCGGGGCUCAACCCCGGUACUGCAUUGGAAACUGUCGGACUAGAGUGUCGGAGGGGUAAGUGGAAUUCCUAGUGUAGCGGUGAAAUGCGUAGAUAUUAGGAGGAACACCAGUGGCGAAGGCGGCUUACUGGACGAUUACUGACGCUGAGGCUCGAAAGCGUGGGGAGCAAACAGGAUUAGAUACCCUGGUAGUCCACGCC
rnacentral:rRNA from 1 species